UACAGAGGUCCCAAGCGUUGUUCGGAUUCACUGGGCGUAAAGGGUGCGUAGGCGGUCGGGUAAGCCUGAUGUGAAAUCUCACAGCUUAACUGUGAAACUGCAUUGGAUACUAUUCGGCUUGAGAGUUGGAGGGGGGACUGGAAUUCUUGGUGUAGCAGUGAAAUGCGUAGAUAUCAAGAGGAACACCAGUGGCGAAGGCGGUUGCCUGGAGCUUUGCUGACGCUGAGGCGCGAAAGCGUGGGGAGCGAUCCGG
rnacentral:rRNA from 1 species